rnacentral:rRNA from 1 species
CCUACGGGGGGCUGCAGUGGGGAAUAUUGCACAAUGGGCGCAAGCCUGAUGCAGCCAUGCCGCGUGUGUGAAGAAGGCCUUCGGGUUGUAAAGCACUUUCAGCGGGGAGGAAGGCGGUGAGGUUAAUAACCUCAUCGAUUGACGUUACCCGCAGAAGAAGCACCGGCUAACUCCGUGCCAGCAGCCGCGGUAAUACGGAGGGUGCAAGCGUUAAUCGGAAUUACUGGGCGUAAAGCGCACGCAGGCGGUCUGUCAAGUCGGAUGUGAAAUCCCCGGGCUCAACCUGGGAACUGCAUUCGAAACUGGCAGGCUAGAGUCUUGUAGAGGGGGGUAGAAUUCCAGGUGUAGCGGUGAAAUGCGUAGAGAUCCGGAGGAAUACCGGUGGCGAAGGCGGCCCCCUGGACAAAGACUGACGCUCAGGUGCGAAAGCGUGGGGAGCAAACAGGAUUAGAUACCCCAGUAGUC